AUUUUUGUCUCGUCUUUUAUACUGAGGAUCAUCGUACCGUAAGAAGGAAUGUCUGGACGCGGAAAGGGUGGCUAGGGUUGGCGAAGGAAGGUGCCGAACGUGAACGAUUCGCAGUCUUCCCACACAUAUGACAAGAAAUGACUGAACGUGGAAAGCAAGGAACGGAGUUGGAUAAUGGACGUGUAAAGCGUCACCGUUACAGAAAGUGAUUCGUGACAACGUCCGGUGCAUCACCAAGGCACGAGUCUUUCCGAGACAUAGACAAGCAAGGCCUGCCGGGAAAAUGUGGGCAAAGGAGGUGCCAGGCAUCCAAGGAGACAGUGGUCCUGGCGGAAGCCGUCUUGGUGCCACUUCCCAUAGUUGGAUUCGUUGAAAGUCGUCUUCAUCAGCUUCUUGAGAAGACAUUUCAUAACUGGAUGUUUAGAGGACAGUCCGUAUGUCAAUCAUCUCUACAAGACCUGAUGGACAUCAGUCUUUCACGGACAUAUGACAAGAAAUGCCUGGACUUGCUAAGGGCGAAGGAGCUGGGAAUGGAGGCUUCAGGUGCUACCAUCACUGACGGUGCUUCGUGGCAACAUCCAGUUCAUCACCAAGCCAAGGAGUCAUUCAGUCUCUCCAAGGCUCCUUUUGCACACAGGGCUUCAGUCCGUUUCUGUGUUAUACAGGCCCAAUGUGUGACUGGUUUGGUUUCUGUGGCUGUGUCGAUGGUCGGCAUUGUUUUUAGUGUUACUCUAAAUUCUGUUUUUUAGAAAUCAGGAACUUUCCUGGUUCACCAUCUGGUGUCAUAUCUGUUUUAUGUCGUGGUCAGUGGUUGUCGGGGACCUAGACCAUUACAUAAUCUGCCUCGUGUCGUUAUCUUGGGUCCCGAACCAAGAGAACGACACAGGCCAGAAAUGAAGACAGGUGGUUGAAGAGCCUAUUUGAUAUUAGUAGUUUAGUCCUUUAGACACACUAUACUUUUUGGUGUCGACACAGUCACAGAAACCGAAUCAUUGCAGACAGAAUGCCAAGUGUGCAUUAUGUAUAUCAAGAUGUUAGAUUCAUGUAGUUAAGCUUGCCUAUUCCCAUAUUUUUGAGUCAAGCUUCAUGUUGGUCUCGUAUUGCAAAGAGGUUUGGAGAUACUGAGCUGUACAGACAUGCGUAUUUUGUA